rnacentral:rRNA from 1 species
UACGGAGGGUGCGAGCGUUGUCCGGAAUCACUGGGCGUAAAGGGCGCGUAGGCGGCGCGGGAAGUCCAUGGUGAAAGCCCGAGGCUCAACUUCGGGUCGGCCAAGGAUACUCCCGGGCUCGAGCACUUUAGAGGCAGGUGGAAUUCCGGGUGUAGCGGUGGAAUGCGUAGAGAUCCGGAAGAACACCGGUGGCGAAGGCGGCCUGCUGGGCAGUAGCUGACGCUGAGGCGCGACAGCGUGGGGAGCAAACAGG